rnacentral:rRNA from 1 species
GAUGAACGCUAGCGGCAGACUUAAUACAUGCAAGUCGAGGGGCAGCAUGAUUGUAGCAAUACAAUUGAUGGCGACCGGCAAACGGGUGCGGAACACGUACACAACCUCCCAAUAAGUGGGGAAUAGCCCAGAGAAAUUUGGAUUAAUACCCCGUAACAUAACGAUGUGGCAUCACAUUGUUAUUAUAGAUUUUUCGCUUAUUGAUGGGUGUGCGGCUGAUUAGAUAGUUGGCGGGGUAACGGCCCACCAAGUCUACGAUCAGUAGCUGAUGUGAUGGAAGGAUCAGCCACACGGGAACAGAGAAACGGGCCCGACUCCUACGGGAGGCAGCAGUAAGGAAUAUUGGACAAUGGACGCAAGUCUGAUCCAGCCAUGCCGCGUGAAGGAUUAAGGUCCUCUGGAUUGUAAACUUCUUUCAUAAGGGACGAAAAAAGGCUUUUCUAAGUCGUCUGACGGUACCUUAUGAAUAAGCACCGGCUAACUCCGUGCCAGCAGCCGCCGUAAAAC